rnacentral:rRNA from 1 species
AUUGAACGCUGGCGGCAGGCCUAACACAUGCAAGUCGAACGAGCGGCGGACGGGUGAGUAAUGUCUGCGGAUCUGCCCGAUAGGGGGGGAUAACUACUGGAAACGGUAGCUAAUACCGCAUACUAUCGUAUGAACCCAUAUGGGCUUAGUUAGUAGGUGGUGUAAAGGGUCACCUAGACGACGAUCUCUAGCUGGUCUGAGAGGAUGAUCAGCCACACUGGGACUGGAACACGGCCCAGACGCUUAGGGGAGGCAGCAGUGGGGAAUAUUGCAAAAUGGGCGCAAGCCUGAUGCAGCCAUGCCGCGUGUAUGAAGAAGGCCUUAGGGUUGUAAAGUACUUUCAGCGGGGAGGCGUUACCCGCAGAAGAAGCACCGGCUAACUCCGUGCCAGCAGCCGCGGUAAUAC